UACACGGAAGGCAGCAGUGGGGAAUAUUGCACAAUGGGCGCAAGCCUGAUGCAGCCAUGCCGCGUGUAUGAAGAAGGCCUUCGGGUUGUAAAGUACUUUCAGUCGUGAGGAAGGUGUUAAGGUUAAUAACCUUAGCAAUUGACGUUAGCGACAGAAGAAGCACCGGCUAACUCCGUGCCAGCAGCCGCGGUAAUACGGAGGGUGCGAGCGUUAAUCGGAAUUACUGGGCGUAAAGGGCACGCAGGCGGUUAAUUAAGUUGGAUGUGAAAUCCCCGGGCUUAACCUGGGAAUGGCAUUCAAGACUGGUUAGCUAGAGUCUUGUAGAGGGGGUAGAAUUCCAUGUGUAGCGGUGAAAUGCGUAGAGAUGUGGAGGAAUACCGGUGGCGAAGGCGGCCCCUGGGACAAAGACUGACGCUCAUGUGCGAAAGCGUGGGGAGCAAACAGGGAUUAGAUACC
rnacentral:rRNA from 1 species